AGAGCGGGAGCCCGGAGAUGGGCACUGAGACAAGGGCCCAGGCCCUACGGGGCGCAGCAGUUGCGAAAACUCCACAAUGCACGAAAGUGCGAUGGGGCUACCCCGAGUGCCGUCCGCUGAGGACGGCUUUUCCACGGUGUAAGGAGCCGUGGGAAUAAGGAGAGGGCAAGCCUGGUGUCAGCCGCCGCGGUAAUACCAGCUCUCCGAGUGGUGAGGACGAUUAUUGGGCUUAAAGCGUUCGUAGCCGGCUUAACAAGUCUUCCGUUAAAUCCAACGAUCUAAUCGUUGGGCCGCGGAAGAUACUGUUGGGCUAGGAGGCGGGAGAAGCCGACGGUAUUCUCGGGGUAGGGGUGAAAUCCUGUAAUCCCGGGAGGACCACCAGUGGCGAAGGCGGUCGGCU
rnacentral:rRNA from 1 species